GACGGACGAACGAACCAACGAACGAACGGACACACAGACCAGAAAACAUAAUGCCCUUCUUCUAUCGUAGUUUGGGCAUAAUAAAACGGGAGUAAUUAAAUAGUUGCAUAUUCCUUUAAAACAUCUGAAGUAAAAGAUUUUUGUAUAUUUAUUAUUUGUACAUAGUAUGAGGUUAUAUUGUACACAAUAAACACGCUAGUUAUAAACACUUAUUGAUCACCACUAUUCUGUGUAUUUCAUUUUGCUGCAGUUUAGAGUAUAUGUUUGAACGUUGUUUUGCUCUUAUAGUAGAUUUGUUUCCCUGGGAUUUAGUUCGUAACCCGAAUUGGUUUUCGUGUAAUCGAUGGGUG
rnacentral:lncRNA from 1 species